CCUACGGGCGACAGCAGUGGGGGAUAUUGCACAAUGGGGGAAACCCUGAUGCAGCGACGCCGCGUGGGCGAAGACGUAUUUCGGUAUGUAAAGCCCUAUCAGCAGGGGAGAAGAAAUGACGGUACAUGAGUAAGAAGAACCGGCUAAAUACGUGCCAGCAGCCGCGGUAAUACGGAUGGUGCAAGCGUUAUCCGGAUUUACUGGGUGUAAAGGGAGCGCAGGCGGCACGGCAAGCCUGAUGUGAAAGCCCGCGGCCCAACCGCGGGACUGCAUUGGGAACUAGCGGGCUUGAGUGCCGGAGAGGUAGGCGGAAUUCCUAGUGUAGCGGUGAAAUGCGUAGAUAUUAGGAGGAACACCAGUGGCGAAGGCGGCCUACUGGACGGUGACUGACGCUGAGGCUCGAAAGCGUGGGGAGCAAACAGGAUUAGAUACCCCGGUAGUC
rnacentral:rRNA from 1 species